rnacentral:lncRNA from 1 species
CUAACUCUUAUUCUAACUAUCCAUGACGAACCCUAGCUAACUCUUAUUCUAACUAGCGAAUGUACCGUGCGUAUGGAGGUCUCAGCAAAACACCGCUGUUCGGGGGUUUAAAAUGGCCGCCGCCUCAUAUUAGUAUCCCGAAUGGCGGCCACCCCGAGAACAAAGACGUACUGCACAGCUUGCCAAUUACCCGUUCGCAACAUUGUUGCAACUGGUAAUUGGAGGCACACUUCACACUGGGGAGGUUUGGUUGUUCGGUAGUUUCAUUCUCAUAAUUGCUAACAUGAUUCUACCGAACAACCAGACGAAUACAGCCUAUUUUAUACAUACAAUAUUGCAAUUCAAACGAAUACACCAAAACACAUGAAUUUUUUAGGACAGCCCAGUGUCCUCCGCUACAAUGAACCCUAGCUAACUCUUAUUCUAACUAUCCAUGAUGAACCCUAGCUAACUCUUAUUCUAACUAUCCAUGAUGAACCCUAGCUAACUCUUAUUCUAACUAUCCAUGACGAACCCUAGCUAACUCUUAUUCUAGCUAUCCAUGACGAACCCUAGCUAACUUUUAUUCUAACUAUCCAUGACAAACCCUAGCUAACUCUUAUUCUGGCUAUCCAUGACGGACCAUAACUCUUAUUCUACCUAUCCAUGAUGAACCCUAGCUAACUCUUACUCUAGCUAUCCACGACGAACCCUAACUAAGUGUAGCUAACUGUUUGGGUGUAGCCAAACAUACACUUAGUGCCAAAAGAAAAUGGUAACCCACCAUGCCAUAUUGUCAAAAGAAAACACAAGUGACCCGACACGCGUUUCGGUGCAGAAGUAUGUGCACCUUCGUCCGCUACAACCAAAAUUUUUAACUAUAUGUCUACUGGUUUAUUAACCCCUUAAUGACACAUGACGUGUGACAUGUCAUGAUUCCCUUUUAUUCCAGAAGUUUGGUCCUCAAGGGGUUAAGUAAAUAAUAUGCUAACUGAUUAGCCAUUUUUAUUAUUUCCUAUUACCUAUCUAGUUAGAUUCAAAGGGAGAGAAGCUUACUUAACUUCUUUCUCUUACUUAUUUCUGUCGUUUCAUGAUUAGAUAACCUAAUAUUGCUUGGACAUACUGAGAUAUUCAUUUCAAAUUUAUCAUAGUUUUGGAUACAUGCAUAUCCUUUUAAUACUCAAGUGCACCAUUCUGGUAACAUCAUCUCUUGCUACACCGUAUUGGUAGGGAGAUGGGCCCAUAUUAUUGGUGCCCUUGAUUAUUUUGACCAUUAGGAAUCUUCUUCAUCAUAAGUCUUGUCCCACCCGAGAUAGAAAAUCGAUCUACCUUAUAUAAUGAAGCCAGUUAUGUGUAUUUCUUGAUAUACCUGUAGUGCAAGGCUAGGAUGUUUAUGUAUAUAGUUAUCUUGUAAAUAAAGUUACAACCUUUUUGUUACAAUUAUCCUUAUUGUGGCCAUUUGACCAUUUACUUUCACAGGAUACCGACUUAUAUCCAGGGGGCCUUCUUUUCACUUAUGUGAGAAGAUUUUGGCCUUUUCCUUUUUUCUUGUCACAGUUAUUUAUCCUUUGGGACUACUGCUGGCCUGCGUCACUGCAAUUGGUGGGACCCUCCGUUUCGGGUGAUUGCCUGUCAUGGUGGGGUUAAUCUCUAGAGGAAACCGGGGGGGAGGGGGGUGAUCCCUUCAUGACAGGGUCGUCUCACUGUUCUGCUUGAUCUCUCAGAAUGCUGUGAACUGAAU